rnacentral:rRNA from 1 species
AUUGAACGCUGGCGGCAGGCCUAACACAUGCAAGUCGAACGAGUGGCGGACGUGUGAGUCAUGUCUGGGAAACUGCCUGAUGGAGGGGGAUAACUACUGGAAACGGUAGCUAAUACCGCAUACCAUCGGAGGUGCCCAGAUGGGAUUAGCGAGUAGGUGGGGGAAAGGCUCACCUAGGCGACGAUCCCGAGCUGGUCUGAGAGGAGGACCAGCCACCCUGGAACUGAGACACAGUCCAGACUCCUACUGUAGGCAGCAGUGGGGAAUAUUGCACAAUGGGCGCAAGCCUGAUGCAGCCAUGCCGCGUGUAUGAAGAAGGCCUUCGGGUUGUAAAGUACUUUCAGCGGGGAGGCGUUACCCGAAGAAGAAGCACCGGCUAACUCCGUGCCAGCAGCCGCGGUAAUAC